AUUGAACGCUGGCGGUAUGCUUAACACAUGCAAGUCGAACGAUGAGAAAGAGCUUGCUCUUUCGAUUAGUGGCGGACGGGUGCGUAACGCGUAGGAAUCUACCUAUUAGUGGGGGACAACUUAGGGAAACUUAAGCUAAUACCGCAUACGCCCUACGGGUGAAAGAAGGGGAUCGCAAGACCUUUUGCUAAUAGAUGAGCCUGCGUAGGAUUAGCUAGUUGGGGGGGUAAAAGCUCACCAAGGCGACGAUCCUUAACUGGUUUGAGAGAAUGAUCAGUCACACUGGAACUGAGACACGGUCCAGACUCCUACGGGAGGCAGCAGUGGGGAAUAUUGGACAAUGGGCGAAAGCCUGAUCCAGCAAUACCGCGUGUGUGAAGAAGGCCUUAGGGUUGUAAAGCACUUUCAAUUGGAAGGAAAACCUCGAAGCUAAUACCUUCGAGUUUGACAUUACCUUUAGAAGAAGCACCGGCUAACUCCGUGCCAGCCGCCGCAGUAACAC
rnacentral:rRNA from 1 species